AUGAUUCGUACGACCAAUGAUAUAGUGCGCACCCUACUACUACAAGCCACUUUACCCCCUCCCUUUUGGGUCGAGGCUCUCCACACCGCCACCUACCUGCUCAACCGGCGGCCAUCCCGUGCUAUAGCUCCUCACACACCUCAUUUUCUUCUUCAUGGCAUACCCCCAACCUAUGAUCAUGUUCGCGUUUUCGGUUGUCUAUGCUUUCCAAACUUGUAUGCCACCAUGGAUCACAAGCUUGCUCCGUGCUCUACCCGCUGCGUUUUCCUCGGCUAUGCCCUCGAACAUAAAGGUUAUCGCUGUUUCGACCUCACCUCCCAACGCGUCAUAGUGUCUCGCCACGUUAUUUUCGACGAAACAAUUUUUCCAUACACAACA
rnacentral:rRNA from 1 species